GGUUGUGUAGUGUAGCGGUUAUCACUCCGGAUUCUGAUAUCAGAAUGUUCCGGCAACCCCGGUUCGAGUCCGGGCACGACCU